AAAAAAUGCUCGAAACUCGCAUCUUAUUCGUAAGACGAAACCGAAACUAUCUUCUUGGAUUUCUAUAUGUUCAUCAUCUUUCCGAUUUUUCAGGUUCCUUGGAUGAUCCACUUCACCGCUUUUCAAUGGCAAAAAAUUAAGAGAGAGAGAGAGAGAGUGAGAGGGACAGAGAGAGAGAGAGAG